UACCAGCACCCCGAGUGGUCGGGACGUUUAUUGGGCCUAAAGCCUCCGUAGCCGGUUCCACAAGUCUUCCGUUAAAUCCAACUGCUUAACAGGUGGGCUGCGGAAGAUACUAUAGAGCUAGGAGGCGGGAGAGGCAAGCGGUACUCGAUGGGUAGGGGUAAAAUCCGUUGAUCCAUUGAAGACCACCAGUGGCGAAGGCGGCUUGCCAGAACGCGCUCGACGGUGAGGGAUGAAAGCUGGGGGAGCAAACCGG
rnacentral:rRNA from 1 species